UACAGAGUCAGGUAGGGACAGCCCAUGAAAGCUAGUGACCAUGGGAUGACAUCUCUGAAGUUCAAGAUAUCAUCAGAGCCUCCUGGGGUUGGCCAAGAGCUAUUCCAUCAUGUAUGCCUCAUCUCUACAAGGUUCUCUGAGCUCCUGCAAAGAUGAACUGCCAGCAGAGCCAGCAGCAGUGCCAGCCCCCUCCCAAAUGCCAGACCCCCAAAUGCCCUCCCAAGAAUCCUCCCCAGGUCCCUGCUCCAAUUCCUGAUCCAUGCCCACCCCCAGAGCCUUCCUGCUGUGAACCAAGCAGCGGAGAAUGCUGUGGUCCAAGCUCAGGAACCUGCUGUGGGCCCAGCUCUGGAGGAUGCUGUAAUUCUGGUGCUGGCACAGGGGGUGGCUGUUGCCUAUUUUCCCACCGGCCCCGGAGGUUCCCCCGAUUCUGGAAUACUGGAUCCAGCAGCAGCUGCUGUAACAGCGGAGGCAAUCAAUCAGGCUCUGGGGACUGUUGCUAACCCUGUCCCCUUGUCCCACCCAAGGGGUGGAAGAACCACAUUGGCAGAAUCUUCAGCAUGGAAGAACCAAAAGCCAGCAUCCUUGCCCCAAUCUGCAGCUUUCCUUCCCACCUCACUCCUCCUGGAGCUGCUGAAAUGUUCCAGGAAAGGAUUUUCAGCUAAGCUGUAUCUAUCAUGAAGAUCCCUAGUUUCCCACGUACCUACCUGCCUUCUAACCUAAUAACCCUUUAUCUUGCCUCUGUAAACCUGGGCUCUGGAUUAUUUUAACUCUCAGCUGGCUCUCUCUCUGAAGGAUAAUAAAAUUCAAUGCUCCCUGACUGAA